rnacentral:SRP_RNA from 1 species
GCUGGGCAUGGUGGUGCACACCUGUAAUCCUAACUACUCAGGAGGUUGAGGUGGGAGAAUUGCUUGGGCCUGGGAGGUCGAGGCUGCAGUGAGCAGUGAUCACACCACUGCACUCUAGCCUGGGCAACAGAGUAAGAUCCUGUCUCAA